rnacentral:lncRNA from 1 species
UCGUCGAGGUAGGACGAGCUCUCACUGUCUGAGCCAAACCGAACCGGGCCGAGCUGAGCCGAGGUCAGCGGUGGCCAGAGGAACCCAGCAUCUCGGGCAUCAUUCGCUCCGUGCACGCAUCGUGUACCUACACCGCAACUCCGUGCCUCAUUCCCGGGUACCCUCUGUGACUCGCUCCUGCAGCAAAGCCACCAUGCCUAUCACUCGGAUGCGAAUGAGACCCUGGCUAGAGAUGCAGAUUAAUUCCAACCAAAUUCCAGGGCUGAGCUGGAUCAAUAAAGUGAGUGUUCUCCUG